ensembl:ncRNA lncRNA:CR45504 long non-coding RNA:CR45504
CGCAAUCUGCACUACCUAGCCAGAUGGAUAAAGUAAAUGCAUAGAUGUGUGCAUAGCGAGUCUAGUCAAUUAAUGCCAUUGUAUCUUGUAUCUUUGUAUCUACGAUAGCUAUCUAGAAACCAAGCAAACAAGCAAACAAACAAACAAGCAUUUGUACUUAUUUUAUAAAUCGAGUGAAACUAUACGAGUCCGCUAUAUACGGAGCACACACUAUUAUUAUAUGGAUAAAUAUGUGAUAAAACGUUUGCAAUGCCACAAACUCACAGAUCUGGGAAGUGGGCGUUACAGGUGGCCUAUACUGGUGCAUGCAGCCAUGGUCAUCCGUUCCGCCCACUUUGCCCGCACUGCAGGCUGUACAUAUCAACAGGUUACAGGUGGACAACUCUUAUCAAUUACUAACUCGCUUAUCUGAAGUGUGAACCGGUGCAAUGUACAUUUUAUAUAGCGCUGCCCAGACUAACCCAACUAUAUCUAUAAGUCAGCCUCCGAAACGCAAUUCGAUCUAACAGAAAAUUAAAUGUAAAUUGAGUCGAUUUGUCCAAACAGUUUGCCGCAAAUCAAAUAAAACAAAACAAGCGAUUUGUUACGGCAAAUGGGAAAUGUUUCCAAGCAAAUUGUUUUCUAGGUGUAUGAGUACAUGGUAUUUGUGUUGGCCUGCCCAUGUAUGUGUGUGUGUGUGUACGCGUGUGUGUGUGAUUGCGUAUCCUUUUUUGAGGCCCAGGAGAAUUGUUAUUCCAAUUAGACGUGUUAACGACCGAGAAAAAUCACACAAAACACGUGCAGUAUAGUUCAACACUUAGAUAUAUAUAUACAUAUACAUUUAUAUAAAGUAAAGAAUAGAUAUCCAACAUUUUUUUGUCUCCCAUAAUAUGAGAAACAUUUCCUUGUCAACCCCCAGCUGCUAUAAGAAUCCAAAUUCAAUACCAAAUUUAUAAUACAACUAGUGAAAAGUAUCCCUAGAAACUAUCGAUUGUUAAUACUGCGAUAAUGUCUUCGAUUAACUGUAAAAUAGCAUAAUUGUGUGACCUAUAAACAUAUAAGUAAGUUCCCAUUCCCACUCCAUUUCCCUUCAUCAUUAUCAUACAUAUGUCUAGCCUAAAGGAGGCGCGUGAGAAAGCCAUCGAGCCAUCAUAGCAAACAUUACACAAUUAUACCCUAUGAAUAAUGUUAACUGUAGGCUAAAUAUGAGAUAUACAGGUGCAUAACGGUAACGGUAACGAUAUCGAUAACGAUAAUGGGAUACCAAGCUACAAAGAAAACUUCAAAGAGCGAACUAAACCCCAUGAAAAAUUGAUAAUCUAUUAUAAUAAUAAUAAUAAUAAUAAUAAUAAUCAAACCUACUAUCGACGGAGAAGCCAAAU